UAUUGGACAAUGGGGGCAACCCUGAUCCAGCCAUGCCGCGUGUGUGAAGAAGGCCUUUUGGUUGUAAAGCACUUUAAGCAGUGAAGAAGACUCUAUGGUUAAUACCCAUAGACGAUGACAUUAGCUGCAGAAUAAGCACCGGCUAACUCUGUGCCAGCAGCCGCGGUAAUACAGAGGGUGCAAGCGUUAAUCGGAAUUACUGGGCGUAAAGCGAGCGUAGGUGGCUGAAUAAGUCAGAUGUGAAAUACCAGGGCUUAACCUGGGAACUGCAUCUGAUACUGUUGGGCUAGAGUAGGUGAGAGGGAGGUAGAAUUUCAUGUGUAGCGGUGAAAUGCGUAGAGAGCUGAAGGAAUACCGAUGGCGAAGGAAGACUCCUGGCAUCAUACUGACACUGAGGUUCGAAAGCGUGGGUAGCAAACAG
rnacentral:rRNA from 1 species